rnacentral:rRNA from 1 species
CCUACGGGAGGCAGCAGUAGGGAAUCUUCCGCAAUGGACGAAAGUCUGACGGAGCAACGCCGCGUGAACGAUGAAGGCCUUCGGGUCGUAAAGUUCUGUUGUUAGGGAAGAACAAGUGCUAGUUGAAUAAGCUGGCACCUUGACGGUACCUAACCAGAAAGCCACGGCUAACUACGUGCCAGCAGCCGCGGUAAUACGUAGGUGGCAAGCGUUGUCCGGAAUUAUUGGGCGUAAAGCGCGCGCAGGCGGUUUCUUAAGUCUGAUGUGAAAGCCCCCGGCUCAACCGGGGAGGGUCAUUGGAAACUGGGAAACUUGAGUGCAGAAGAGGAAAGUGGAAUUCCAAGUGUAGCGGUGAAAUGCGUAGAGAUUUGGAGGAACACCAGUGGCGAAGGCGACUUUCUGGUCUGUAACUGACGCUGAGGCGCGAAAGCGUGGGGAGCAAACAGGAUUGGAUACCCUGGUAGUCCACGCUGUAAACGAUGAGUGCUAAGUGUUAGAGGGUUUCCGCCCUUUAGUGCUGAAGUUAACGCAUUAAGCACUCCGCCUGGGGAGUACGGUCGCAAGACUGAAACUUAAAGGAAUUGACGG